UUGAUUUGAAGUGAAUUUGAAGUUUGACCUUUCUUUAUUAUUUUAAUUCAGGUUUUAUUUUAAAUAUUAAAAAAUUCCAAAAAUAUUUUGUUUAUUUCUUGACUUCUAAUUCUCAUUUUGCUUCUGUUUUAUAUUGUUUGACCUUGAUCUCCUCUAGCUUUGGUCAAUGCUUGUUGAUUAAUACAUUCUAUUUCACUUAAUGCACU
rnacentral:lncRNA from 1 species